GACCCGACUGCUAUUUGGGUGAGGAUAAGCCAUGCGAGUUGAAUGGGAUACCCAAAGUUCCCAUGGCAAACUGCUCAGUAACACAUGAUCAACUUACCCUAUAGAGGAAAAUAACCUCGGGAAACUGAGGAUAAUAUUCCAUAGUUGAAUCGGCUUGGAAAAGUUUUUCAAUAAAAGGGAUAAGGAAAAUGGUUCUUAUCUGCUAUAGGAUAGGAUCGUGUUCGAUUAUGGUUGUUGGUGAGGUAAAGGCUCACCAAGCCGAUAAUCGAUAGGGGCCGUGAGAGCGGGAGCCCCGAGAUGGGUACUGAGACAACGACCCAGGCCUUACGAGGCGCAGCAGGCGCGAAACCUCCGCAAUACACGAAAGUGUGACGGGGUUACCCAAAGUGUUCUAUUUAGAACUGUGGUAGGUGAGUAAUGUCCCCUACUANAAAGGAGAGGGCAAGGCUGGUGCCAGCCGCCGCGGUAAAACCAGCUCUUCAAGUGGUCGGGAUAAUUAUUGGGCUUAAAGUGUCCGUAGCCGGUUUAGUAAGUUCCUGGUAAAAUCGGGUAGCUUAACUAUCUAUAUGCUAGGAAUACUGCUAUACUAGAGGGCGGGAGAGGUCUGAGGUACUACAGGGGUAGGGGUGAAAUCUUAUAAUCCUUGUAGGACCACCAGUGGCGAAGGCGUCAGGCUGGAACGCGCCUGACGGUGAGGGACGAAAGCCANGGGAGCGAACCGGAUUAGAUACCCGGGUAGUCCUGGCCGUAAACGAUGCAUACUANGUGAUGGCACGGCCAUGAGCCGUGUCNGUGCCGUANGGAAACCGUUAAGUGUGCCGCCUGGGAAGUACGGUCGCAAGGCUAAAACUUAA
rnacentral:rRNA from 1 species